UCUUGUUAAUGUAACCCAGUUGGAAUUUUAUAGUUCUAGGAGUCUGGAUUUUCAUUUUUAAGGUAAGUGUGUUUUUUUUUUUUUUGUCUGCUUUUUGCUUAUUUUUGAAACCAUUUUGAGAAGCGUAAAAAUAAAUUUAUAUAUGUGAUCCACUGUUGUAUAUAAGUAAGCGUUUUUUUUUUUUUUUUAAAUGAGAGCAAUGUGACAGCUAUAUAUUACCAGGUGAAGAUAUUACAUAUAAAGUAUUCUGUAGAUAUUUGUGUCCAAAGAUACUUUUGAUUGGGGAAGUUUCUUGGAGAUGUUAGCAUGAAGUUAGUGUUUGGAUGAGGAUACUUAUAAAGAGUUAUGCAUAUUAAUGUGGUAAUUUCUAAUUAGCAAAACGACUUUCAAAUAAACAAUCUAGCUAUGUGUCUAAGGAGCAAUGUCUUUAAUUGCCCUGUGAUAAACCCACAGCUGGGUAACAGAUAGCAGUAAAAUCUGUCAAUGAAACCAAUAUUGUUAUGCUUCACCAGCUCUGUUCACUUGUUAGAGUGCGUUAAGCGGAAUUCUAAUGGAGAAUUAUUUGAAAGACAUUUAGGCACGCUGGAACAUAUUUCUGUUCAUACGAUGUGAUUUAGUGGAAUGCAUUAUCCUUCAAAGCUAAUCAUAAAAAAAGCAACACACAUACAAAAGCAUUUCGGUAAAAGUUUCCUCCUUUUUUUUUUUUUUUUUUUAAGUUUUCUCCUUUAAAGACUUAUGUGUCGAAAGGAUAAACCUGGCCGGGAUUAUCGAUAUUGGGGCAGAAUAUAUAUUGCCCUUGUAUCUUAUGUGUGGACACUGGGUACUUCUAGGCCAUUGUGGUUGCCUUUUAAUUAGACUAAACUUCACUCGAGAUUAGUAGACGCUUUCUUUACAGUAGUAUUCUUAGUCUGCUUCGUGAUGUUUAUUAUUAAACAUUUUGUUAAAUUUUCUGAACUCUUCAUCUACUAUGUGAUUUUUGUAAUAUUACUCUCAUUCACAUGGAUGGGAAUGACCAUGGCUUAUAUUAUUCAAAACAAUUUUUUUUUAAAGCUUAUUUCUUUUUUGAGAGAAAGAGAGACCGAGCAUGAACGGGGGAGGGGGAAAGAGCGAGGGAGACCCAGAACGUGAAGCAGGCUCCAGGCUCCGAGCUGUCAGCACAGAGCCUGAUGCAGAGCUAGAACCCAUGAAUAGAGACAUCAUGACCUGAGCCGAAGUCUGAUGCUUAACUGACUGAGCGACCCAGGCGUCCCAUUACCAUGGUUUAUAUUCAAGGUAGGGGAUUGAACACAUUCAGAUUACCUUUCAGGAAGUCACAGAGUAAAGAUUUAGACCCAGAGAGCAGGUCAGCCUGUGGUAACCGUGGCCUCUCACUGCCCUGCAUGCUUUUCCAGUGUCCUUCUGAUAACAGAUCUUUGUUUUCCUUUUGGUACCAACCCUGCCCAUUCCACGUGAACUUGGCGGGCCUGGCAGUCACAUCGGCCUGCCCUCUCGUGACCCCAGAAGCCAGGCACAUAAUUCAGAGUAUCCUUUUGGCACGGCUACAGCGAUUGAUUCUGAGAUUGGCACGUGGACCAAUUUGAGUCCAUCACUAACCGCCUCCUCUAAAAUCUCAGAGUUCGCUAUUUUCUGCCGGAGUUGCUACACUGAGAGAAUGCAGUGGGCAGCGCUGGGGGUCAUCUCGGGGAGACACAGGUUGAAGUAUGAAGCCAAGUGAGGUAAAAAAAAAAAGGAGGAGGGAUAGAGAAAUGGAGGCCUGGAGACAUUAUUUACUUCCUCACACUAGCUGUGCCUGAAAUCCGUGAUAAUUCUACGCCUCCCAGAAAUACGGGAUUGCCUUUUUUUUUUUCCCAAGAGCUCAUUUGAGUUGGGUUUCCAUCAUUUGAAACUCAGAGUCAUGAUUCCUACGGAGGGUUACCUGUUUGUUUGGGCAACACUCAAAGCAGGCUAUAUUAAUUAGAAAGCCUGAGUCUAAUUACUUACAGGUCACAUCAAAAUAGAGGUCUUCUCUACUAAAGGUGGAAGGUACAGUUUGGGAGACAGUUCUGCUAAUUCAACAAAAUAUAUCGAUAAGUGUUCUUAGAGACUUCCAAAGACCAUUUUACGCAUCAUUUUUGCUUCAGUUCAACACUGUAUAUCUAUAAAGGAGAUCCACUUCAUGAGAUAAUUCAUUUAGUUUGGUGGGUUAUACGUACAAAGUGAUCUAGGAAAAAAAAAAAAAAGCACAUUGCACAAUAAAACCAAAAGAGAACACACCCCUUUCUUACUCGGUCGUUAGAAAUACUGCCUCAGAAUUGUCUGAGUCCUCUUCCUGUGGCUCCUCUGGGAAUGGAGUAGCCCUCCCCUUACUUGUGGUUUCAGUUACCCACGGUCAACUACCGUCCAGAAGCAGAUGAUCCUUCUGAUGUAUUGUCAGAAGGUCAGUGGUUGCCUAAUGCUAUGUCCCAAUAUCUACAUCAUUAACGUCACUUCAUCUCAUUCCAUGAACAUUUGGUCAUCUCAUAUCGUCACAAGGAGAAGGGUGAAUACAGUACAAUAAGAUACUUUAAGAGAGACCAUAGCCAUGGAACUUUUAUAACAGCAUAUUACUAUAAUCAUUCUAUUUUACUACCAGCUAUUGGUGUUGAUCUCUGACUGUGCCUAAUUUAUAAAUUAAACUUUAUCGUAGGUAUGUAUGUGUAGGAAAAAACAGUAUAUAUAUAGACUUUGGUACUGUCCAGUAUCAGACAUCCACUGGGCAUCUUGGCAUGUAUCCCCUGUGGAUAAAAAAGGGCUAUUGUAUUACUGUGAGGCUUGCCCCCAAGACCUCAUGUCCCCAUGUCUUUCUGAUUUAAGUCCCAAAUUUUCCAACCCCCAUUGGGUCACCCCCAGCCUCUAGGGCCUCAUACCUUUAUCUUGUCUUUAUUUUUCUAUUUUGCAGCCUUGAUCCAAUUUCUGAGACCCCCCCCCCCAACCCCCAAAUGUCAUUUCUUCUGGGUUCGGUGUGUUCAAUAAUAGUUCUUUAGGCAAAACUCUUCCUGGACUAACUUAUGUUCCAGGACUCUGUCUUCACUCACAAUGACUUUGAGAAGUCUCCUUCCCUCCCAGAUCUGGUCUGUCAUUUCCAGAAUAUGACAUGAGAAUCAUUAAGUAAGUGAGCCUUUCCCAAUCGGGUUUCUCUCUGACUUCUAAAAUUUCAGAGAUUCAUUCUCUUGUCUUGUUUCCUUCCUUGAUAAAAUGUCAUCGAUCAUUUUUUGGGGGGAGGGGAGCUGUGUUAGACCUCGUGGUUGACUCCAUAAUAUCCAUCGUACGCACCUCCCCCCCAGGCUGGGUUGGGAGAUUUUGUGCCAGCUUCAGGGUGGGUGGGGCCCUGAUUAGUCUCAGUCAAUAAUGGCCCUUCUUCUCCUUAUCAGUAGUUGGUUCAGGAACUCAGACAGAACACAGCAUUCCAUGUAUGACAGCUUAGGGGUAAAUGACAUAUGUUGGUCUAAACAGACAAAAAAGAAGGCUUUGAUUCAGUGGCUGGGGAAAUCAUCCAUCUCUCUCUCUCCUUCUCUAUUCCUCCUCACUUGCCCCUCCAGUAGACAUGAAAGGCCUAAGCGAUACAUGUAGCUGUCCUAUAACCACAGGGAAAACAACCUUAGGAUGAAGCUGAAUUGUGUUAAGCAGAGAGAUAGAAAGAACCUGAGUGUUUCAUGACAUUGUCCAGUCCCUGGAUAGGCCUAAUCCUUAUCAAGGCUUCCAGAUAAGUGAGUCAUACAUUCUGCGUUCAAACCCUUAACUUUCACAAAGCUAAUGUAACUAAUACAAUGGCUUUAUUAGUGUUCUUUUCUGUGGUCAGGUUUUGAAUCCAGGGGAGUAAGUACAGCCCAGAGGGAAGUCAAAGGAAAAUAUUUCCCAGAGGAGGAAAGAAUAGGGAGUGAGAAACACCAGAAAUAAGCUUUUCAUACUUUGCAGUGUGCCAGAGGGUCAGCUUUCUAUCCAAGUAGCCUGGAGAUAUGAUUAUAUCAUUUUUUUCCCCCUCUUAACCAGGGAUAAAGACUCCUUUUCAGACACUUGCCUUGAAACCCUCCAAAUCGUGGUACAAUGAUGGAGAGACUUGUCCAGUGCUCCAGGCAAAGAUCAUAAGGUUGGGCCCUAAGUCCAGCAAAUAAUAAGAGCUAACAUUAACAUUUAUAAACCAUUUUCCAGUUUGCCACUACCUGAUUUCAUCUGAGCCCGAGAACAAUUCUUCAGAGUAACUUUUCAUCAUCUUCAUUGACAAAUGAGGCAGCUAAGGCUUGGGGAGACAAACUGAAUGAAUGGCACAGAGCCACCCAGCUGGAGACAAAGAAUCCAGGACCAAAGGCUGGAAUUCUGACUCGAAGCUUCACUGUUGCGACCAUCCCACACCACCCCUUUGCCCUCCCAUGUGGCUUCUCUGUUCCCUGGCGUUUUCUUCUACAUUCAGAAUCAGUUUUCCUCGUUGGCUUGUCUUUGGGAAGGCAGCCCCAGGCCUUCCUUAUCUGUUUGUGGUUGCUGGACUUCUCUUACCAUGAAAAGGGCUUUAUUUCUUGGCAUUGAGUCCCGUUCCUUAUCCACUCCUUUUCUCCAUUACUUCACUGGGCUUCCUGUUGGUUUGGAGUCAUGAACACUCCGGGUUGACAACUGAGGUCAAUUUCUGCAUUCGAUUCAAAGGAAACUGGGUUGGAUGAAUUCGACACAAUGGUGAACUUAGUGGAUCAUUACGUCUUAAGUAAGUCCCAGGAAAUGUGACGAAACUAUAGAAAAGGUAUCCUUAAUCCGAAAUGAUGUGAGCUAAGCGCGAAUAAACUCUUUGGGUCUUAAUGACACCCAUGAGACUUUUGAUGUCUGACCAUAGAUGUGGAAGAAAGAUAAAGGAAGAAAAAUUGAAAAGCAGCGAAAAAGUAGGAGGGGGGGAAAAAUGUAUGCACAAACAUUGGGAGUCAAAGAGCAUGUUUAUGCAAUAAUUUUCUAACCUCUAAAGUUUUUCUCCCAUUUUUGAGUUAAAGUAGGCAUUGCUGAGCAAGGACGAUUAGCCAUUCCACAGAAGCUCUUGAGGACCACAGAACAUAUUAAAUCAGUAAUUUGUGUGAUGGGCCUGAUAGAGUUAGCAGCUGACAAAAUGGCAGAUGUAAUCAAUAACCUGCCGACUCACAAAACAGUUGAUUUGGCCCCCAAAUACCUAUUGUGUUUAUUAGUGAAUCCCACGUACAGAAUGUGAAUUACAAGACAGUGUUGAUCAUUUUCCGCAGUUGUUUAUUUUUCUUUCCCUCCAUAAGCCCUUAUGAAUUAAAAUGCAAAGUAGAGGUUAGGAACUCCGAGAAAUCUUGUUUUGCUCAUUUUUUUUUUUUUUUUUCCCAGCGCACAUUUGCAUUUUCGAUGGCUGCAAUCUCUGCCUCCCUGCUUUGGUUUGGCGAGGCAUACGGUUGUUGUACUCUGCCUUAUGAAUAUUAUGAUUUAGCUAAGGUGAAACUUGGAUAGGGAUCAGAACAUGUCAACCGGGGACUAUUAGGUUAAGAGAACUAGACCUCUGGCCUCUCUUUGGGGCUUGUGAUGUCUUUGAAUCCCCUGAUGUAGGAAAUUUGGAUGCUGGGGAUUUCUUCCACACUCAAGAAAAGGAUAGGAUGGGUUUUAUAUGUACUUAAACUUUGUCUUUUAUAACCAGGUGGCAGCCAAUUUAUUUAAAGCACUGAUGAAUAAGAGGAACCCUGGAAGGGAACAUUUGACUCAUCCUUAUCUUUACUCUCAGGAGGACGAUAAUCCCUGGAAUCAGGGAACAUUCAAAUAAACCAUGUAACGCUGGAUCCAACUGAUUAUCCUCAUUAGCAGAACCCUGAGAUUUACUGAGAAUAAUUGAAAGUUGCAUUUGGCAUGUGUCUUAAUUGUUACUCUGCAGAAGGCAAUAUAAGGGAAGAUUUUGAAUAUAUCAGAUGACAGAGUUAUAGUGUAGAUAAGUCUGGGAAAACAUUUGCAAAGUUUAUCCAUAUAACAUGCCUUAAGUUGUCAGGCAGUAUAUUUGCGUCGUAAGAAAAAUGUUCAAGAAGACAGGCAGCAUGGGACGUCCAUCCUGCGUGGUGUUUCUCCGUCUUGAUACGGGAGAACUUGGUAACUAGAGCAAAGCCAUAAGCUGUGCAAUCAUUCUGAAUUUGCAUUCACUUAAGGAAAGAUUGUGAAUGUCCUGAUUUGUUUUCACUUUUUCUGGCCCUCACGAGCCCUAUCCCACUGCCUUGGUGUGCAUUUCAUAGCAUCGCUCAGCUGUGCAAGUUUUUGUUUUUGUUUUUUUCUCCUUGUUAAUUUUCUAUCCAAUCCCCAAAGUGAAGCUUGCAGGAGGGAUGAAGGCCGGAAAAUAGCAAGUUAUGAAUAGGUCAAGGGAUAUGAACAAGCCAUCGUGUAGCCUCCAAGCUUUUCAAGCUUUUCUCUCUUAAGGUUUCGGAUGUGCGUGUGUUUGGCUAUGCCGAGAGACAAAAGGAGGUCAUCUUCCCAGUUCCUAUUUCAGAGACAAUAACAGGCACAAAAGUGCAGCAAAUAGCCACCAUCGUUUAGUACACAAUAGAAAUGUGUUUAAAUUUUUUUUAAUGUUUCUUUAUUUUUGAGAGAGAGAGAUAGAGUGUGAGUGGGGAAGGGGCAGAGAGGGAGGGAGGCACAGGAGCCGAAGCAGGCGCCGGGCUCUGAGCUGUCAGCCCAGAGCCGGACACGGGGCUCCAACUCACAGACCACGAGAUCAUGACCCGAGCCGAAGUUGGACGCUCAAACGACUGAGCCACCCAGGCGCCCCUAGAAAUGUGUUUGUAUUAAUCGUCUCAGUGCCCAGGAGGACGGUCAUAUUAUUGCAUUUGACAGGUGAGGAACGGGAGAAACAGAAAAGUUAGGUAAAUGGGCUCAAACUUGCACACCUGGAGGCUAAAAGUGUUAAGAGUGUAAACCCAGACCUGGAGCCUGCUGAAGCCUGUGCAUUUCUUACCGUGCUCUGUGCUUUUUUUAAAGAAGGGUCUUGAGAACGUAGAGGAACAGAUGGGGCCGCUGGUUACAUGAGCCCUUCUACGAUUGCCUUAUUCUCUCCUGACUGCAUUUCCCCCUCGCUUUUCUACCCACCACACUCAAGGAAGAAAACAAUGGGGCAGAACCAAAAAAGAGACUUUAGUUGUCACUGACUUAGAAGUAAAAGGAGCUAGUCUUGGAAAGUAGACUUUCCAAACAGGCGAUUUGGCCAUGUUUCCAAAUUCUAAACUUGGAGGCUCAGCUCUUUCCAUUGAGCAAAUUAUCAAGAAAAUCAUUUAGAUGGGAUUUCCUCUGAAAUGUAGAUACAUCUUAUUUCAGAAUUUUGGCUACCAAAGACCCAUUAUCACUUAUUUGCAUUGCAGCCUUACGCUGCCGGUCUGCAACCUUCCUAUGAAUAAGAUUCAUCCAGGAGGGAGUCAAUUAGUGCUCUUCAGUUUUAAGUAACAGGAAUCUUCCCUGGUUACUAUAAGCAGCAAGGAUUUGGGCAGCUCUCAGAAAUAAAGGGAAGGCUGGAGAACAGGGCCAGAAAAAGGAGAGAGACAGGGGUGUAGGUAGGAGGAACUAAUUUUGUUUCCUAUCUACAUUCAACUUUGUGAUGUCAUUGAAUCCGAAGAUGUUUAAGUAACUAUCUAUAGUGGACAGAAUUCUAAGAUGGGCCUCAAGAUUCCCACCCACUGUGUCUUAGUGUUCUUAGAGAAAAAGAACCAAUAGAAUAUACACGUAUAUUCUGAAUAUAUUUAUAUAUUCUGGAUAUGUGUAUAUAUUCUGGAUAUAAAAAAUAUAAAAUGUAUUUAAAUCUACAAACGAUGUUUAGAUGUUUAUAUGUAUUCUGGAUUAAAACAUAAAAUUUAUUUAUAUCUACCUACAAUAUUGAUAGAUUUACUCUGGAUACAAAACACAUAAAACAUAUUUAUAUCUAUAUAUAAUAUUUAUAUAUAUUAUGGAUAUACAUAAUAUGGAUAUAAAAAUAAAACUAAAAACAUAUGAAAUAUAUAUUUAGAAUAAAAAAUAAAUAAAACAAAUAUAAAUAUGUGUCAUACACAUAUAACAUUCAUAUAUGCAUUUUUUUAAUGCUUAUUUUUGAAGGAGAGAGAGACAGCAUGGGUGGGGGAGGGGCAGAGAGAGAGGGAGACACAGAAUCCGAAGCAGGCUCCAGGCUCCCAGCUGUCAGCACAGAACCCGACGUGGGGCUCGAACUCAUGAACCGUGAGAUCAUGACCUGAGCCAAAGUUGGAUGCUUAACUGACUGAGCCACCCAGGUGCCCCACAAUAUUCAUAUAUAUAUAUAUAUAUAUAUAUAUAUAUAUAUACACAAAGAGGUUUAUGAUGAGGGUUUGGUUGACAGGAUUAUGGAGCGUAAGUCUGACAGUCUGCCAUUUACAAGGUGGAGGCCAAGGAAAGCCGGUGGUGUAGUUCCCAUCCCAACCCAAAGGCUGGAGAAGCAGGAGCUUCUAUGUGUGAGGGCAGGAGAAGAUGAUGUCCCACCUCAACAGAGAGCAAACUCGCCCAUUGCUCAGUCUUUUUGUUCUACUCCACAAAUUGGCUGAUGAAAACUUGCAUUGAUGAAGGCCAUCUUUUUUAUUUUAAUUAAUUAACUAGUUAAUUAAUUAAAACAUCUACUUAUUUAUUUUGAGAGAGAGAGAGAGAGAGAGAGAGUGAGCCAGCAGAGAAGAGGGAUGGAGGGAGGGAGAGAAAGAAUCCCAAGCAGGCUCCACAUCCAAUGCAAAGCCUGAUGCGGGGCUGGAUCCCAAGACCACGAGAUCAUGACCUGAGCUGAAAUCAAGAGUCGGAUGCUUUAUGGAAUAAAUGCCCUGAGGACCAUCUUUUUGUUCAGUCUACAAUUCAAGAGCUAAUGUCUUUUGGAAAUACCCUCACAGAUAGUCCUAGAGAUAAUGUUCUAUCAGCUGUCUGGGCACCCUUUAGCUCAGUCAAGUUGACAUGUAAAAAUAAAUCAUCACACUCUGUUACACCCAUCCUGUGUAAUCCCUUGAGUGUGGGUGAGAUUAUGAGUGAUGGGCUAUCACUUCUGUCAACAGGUUACUCUACUAAUCAGCUGGCUUUGAGUUCAUCGAAAGAAGGAUUAUCCUAGGUUCACCUGACCUAAUCAGAUGAGCUCUUAAACCAGGACUGGGCCCUCUCUGGGGUAAGAGAUUUUAUGAGAAAGAGAUUCUCUUACUGACCUUGAAGCUGAAUACUGCCAUGGACAAGGCCAUACGGCAGGGAGCUGUGGGCACCUCCAGGAGCUGGGAGUGGCCCUGAACAACAGCUAGUCGGAAAGUGGGACCUCGGUCCUCUGGUUGCCAGGAGCUGAAUUCGGCCAUCAGGCAGCUGGGUUGGAAGAGGACAGAACCCUCUCUGCAGCUCCAGCCAACACCUGAUUUCAGCCUGUGAGACCCCAAGCAGAGAACCCCCCACCCUGUGUCUGGACUUCUGACCCACACGACUGUUGAGAUAACAAAUGGGUAUUGUUUCCAGGUGCUCAGUUUGUGACGAUGGAGUCUAUACCACCUCCAUGCCGCUGACUCUAAAAUCUAGACCCUCUUUCCUAACUUCAGUCUGAUACCCAACCACCGACUUGCUGUCUCUGCCUGGACGUCUAAGAGACAUGGCAAACAUAAUGUGUCCCGAACCGAGCUUCCCUCUCUCCUGUCAACCCACUCUUCCUAUCCUCCUUUUAUGCCCAAAGUGACAACUCUCUCCUUACAGUUGCUUACCUCAAGAACUCUGAGUUUUGUUUCACUUUCAAUCCGUGAGUUUUAAACUUUGACUCUACUUCUCACUAAUGGCUCUGCUGUCACCCUGGUCUUUACCACCCAACGCGUUUCACAUGGGCUAGUGCAGCCGUCUAAAUGACUUCCCAGAUUUCCCCCCGGGUCUCCUACAGUCUGCCUUCGAUACAACAACCGGAGUGAGGUCGUUACAUGAAAACUCUAGUCAGUCAUCUGUGUAGAGCCUUCAGUGGCUCUCCGGUAGACUGAGUUAUUAGUCCCUAUUCUCAUUUCUCCCUUUGCCAUAUGACUUUGCAGUCCUUCUCACUGGGGGUGAACGAGGUGGCUCCAUUCCUUGACUCGGGUCACUUAACUUGCUUCGAGCAAGUAGAGAGAAGUGGGGCAAGGUGUACAGAAAUGACAAUAUCUCAGUGCUGAGUUUAGGCCUUACGAGUUUCACCGUCUGUACCUCACUGUUGCUGAGAGAACCUGCCCUGGCUGGCUCAGUUGUUCAAGUGGAUGAGAGACCCUUGGAGCAGACAAGAACACAGCCUGCCAUUUAACGCUGCCCAGAUGAGCCCAGCCUAGAUUUGUCUGGCUCUAAGCCGACCUGUAGGUAUGUAAGCCAAAUAAAUGCUUGUAGUACAUCACUGAGAGUCCACGAUUGUUUCUUUCCAAGCAGUAGCUAAGACAGGCUCAGAAGAGAAGUGAAAGUGCUUCCAGUGGCGUGCAAGGGUCUGCCCAUUCCAUCCCCACAAGAGACCUCAGUCUCCCUCUCACUUGCCGUAAUCCAGCCACACUGGUCUCUUUGCUCGUCCUGGAACUGUCUAGGCCCCCUCUUCUGUAGAUCUUUGUAUUUUUUUCCUCCAUUUGGAAUCUGUCAGCCCCUGACAACUUCCCCUACUGCCUUCAGGGUUUUGCUCAAAUAUCAUCUUCUCAGUUGAGAGCUGUUUGCAAUCCAUUUUCCAUUUUCCUUUGCUGUCUCCCAUCCUCGGUCUGUUUUCUCUACAACCCGUAUGACGCUUUACUUUUUACCGUUUGACAGUCUCCCGCCUGCCCGUUCACCCCCACCCCCACACUAGAAGGCAAACUUCACAAGGGUGGGGGUUUUUAUCUGAUUUGUUCACUCCUGAAUCCCCAGUUUUUGGAAUGGAGCUCAAUAAUAUUUACUGAGCAUAAAUUAAUUCAUUUCUGAGGGAGCCAUUUUUUUUCUCCUCUCAUUCUGUAUCGUUCUGCCUAAGAACUAAUGUCUCAGGAGGAGAUUAGGCCUGGUCUGGAUCUCAGUCCUACUCCUUGGCCAGGGCAGAGCAGGACAUCUUUGUUCAUAGUCCCUCCAGUGGGGAGGCAGGAUUCCCCCAAAGGAACCAGGCAUCCUGUAACCUGAGCCAGGGGACACAGAAGGCCCAAAGCCGAGUAACAGAGAGCAGUCUGAUAUUCCCAGCCUGAGUUAACUAGGCCCAUCCUCAUACCAUUCUAGAAGUCCAUCUCACCGUGUCUGUGGCUCCCAUUUUGAGAUGCAGUAAAACACCUUAGGAAAGUCCUUGGAGAAUUCCAAAGAAACAUGGAGAAAUUUGAAUCUCUUUUCCAUGUGCAAAUGAAAGACAAAUCUCUGUUUGAAGCCCUUGAGGGAGGUAAGCCCUAGGCCCCUGGGAUGGGGCACAGAAUAGGAAGUAUCCUCAGGGUGUUCCAAGAGUUUCCAGCCUGUUGGUAUCUGGAAUCCCUCACUGAGCCCUUCUUCACCCCCUGGACUUUGCUCCACCAGAGCCACUGUCUCAGGCCUCAGAGGCCCAUUGGACCUCUGCUCCUACUUUCUGGUGAGCAAGUAAGAAGCGAAACGUGGCUUCCACCUGUGGCCAGGGUUGCAGCAUGGGAGACGUACCCUUGACCUACUGGGUUGGAAUCCCAGCAGUACUUUCCCCGGUUGCCGGUAGCAUGAGGUCCCUGGGACUACAGUGCACUUGACCCAUGUUAAGCACGUGACUGGCUUCUGUGGGGGCAGCCCCGGGACCUGACCGCACCGGCAAAUGUGUAAAAAGGCAUCCUGCGUGCCAGACGCAAAGUGGCGGACCUGUUUGCAGAGUGCAGGUUGUUUGUAAGUUGGAACUUGUCCCUACUUGUAAGGGAAGGAAAAUCACACAGCCUUUCUGGGUCAAGAACUUGGCAUUUAAUAGCGUGCUGAGAUUGACUUCCUUCCUUACCAAUCUCCCUGUCAUUUGGAUGGGAACCUCCAGUUGGGAUGCCCCUUGUGAAGUUGGAAUAAGGUCUUUGAUUUAAACAAUAACAAACACUUGGCCCUGGUGUUCCAGAAGCGUGUUGCCAGUGUGCCUUCACCAUAGCUCAGUCACUCUGUGGUCUGCUUGCAAGAUUUCUGUCUAACGGGAAUAAAGAGACUUUGCAUCUCAGCAGCUCAUGGAAAAAUUGGCUAAGGAAAUGAAAUUAUGUGAACAACUGUGGGCCUUUUGGAGAUAGUCAUUAUUUAAAUCCAUUCGUUUAUUCUGCAUUUUGAUAAUGUCUAUAGACUUGCUGCCAUCUCAUCUCCUGUUAUCCGUUUAAGGCAUUUAAAGUUUGACUUAUUAUUUUAGCACCGUAGGUAUUUCUACAUCCUGGGAAUCAGGCUUGAAGGACUAGAGUCUUUGAAUAAUGAUAACAAGAGCAGUUGUGGUGGUAGAGAAGGCAGGAGCAAUGGAAACCAUCAUGAUAAUCCUAGAAGCGAUCAUUUUGAGGAUUUAUUGUUGACGGUGCUGGCACAUGCAUUAUGUCACUUAAGCUUCCAAAUCUCUGAUUCUUCUCACGUUAGAAAAAGGAAAGUUCACUUAGGGAGUUUUUUGUUUUUUGUUUUUUUUUAAUUUUUUAAUGUUUGUUUAUUUUUGAGAGAGAGACAGAGCAUGAGCAGGGGAGGGGCAGAGAGAGAGAGAGAGAUAGAGAGAGAGAGAGAGGGAGGGAGACACAGAAUCAGAAGCAGGCUUCAGGCUCUAAGCUGUCAGCACAGAGCCCACCAUGAACCCACAAACUGUGAGAUCAUGACCUGAGCCAAAGUCGGAGGCUUAAAUGACUGAGCUGAACCACCCAGGUGCCCCUAGGGAGUGGAGGUUUUAAGGUCAGAUAAAUCCCUUCUGCCACUGACUUAACUGGCUGUGUGACCUUGGGCCAGUUACUCAACCUCUCUGUAACCGGGGUGUGGCAAUCCCUAUCUCAAAAGAUCUUUGUGAAACUGAAGCUAACUACGACUAUGUACACGGAAGGUUAAGUAUGGAGUCAAACGGUCAUUUCUUUGUCGACGGCGGCAAUGAUAAUAAAUCUACCCCACGUUCCACGUGGCAAAGCUCCUCCUUGUGAAUAAUCAACGAGGAGUGAACAAUGGGCAACUCGAUUUUGACUGAUUGUCACUAUUUGCUAAGCAUUAAUAAAUGCCCACAUUAGAGCCCCUUCCAAGGACUCUGCCCGUAGCUACACCCCCAAAUCCGAGACCGGCCGGCCAUCAACCAUUGCUCCUAAAUCCUUCAUUCCUUUCUCAUUAAGGUUUCAGUCUCUGAGCUGUGCCAGCACCGUCAAUAAAAAGCGCAGUUCACUCGCCUCCCUUUCAAGAAUACUUUGCCCAAGAUAAUUAUAACCCCUGGAAAAGGAUGCAAGCAAAUUAGCAUCAUAAUCUAUGGGAGCAGAAGGCAUGGUGGUGAUUUUCCCAUAAGAAAUACUUCUAUUUUGGAAUUCUCAGUAGUCUACCACUUUCUCUCUCAUGAGAGUCAACACAGUUUUGAUUUACUGACUCACUGUCCCUGGAGUGUUUUUCUCUGAAUUUUAAACAAAAAAAAAAAAAAAAAAAAAUUAAAAAAGGAGUUAAAGAAUUGUAGAAGAAAUGCAAGGCAAGAAGGAAAAACGACGAGAAAAAAAAAGGAAAUGAGAGAAAGAAGAGGGAAGGAGAGGAAGUAAAACAGUGUGCUGUCAAAGAGGUUUAGAGCUAAAAUAUUGAAAGUUAACGGUAGAAAAUUUCUUUGUCUUUAUGUAUUUAUGAGUUUAUUUAUUUAUUUAUUUUGAGAGAGAGAGAGAGAGAGAGAGAGAACCCCAAGCAGGCUCUGUACGGUCAGCACUGAGCCUGAGGUGGAGCUCGAACUUACAAACCGCGAGAUCAUGACCUCAGCCGAAAUCAAGAGUUGGACGCUUAACAAACAGAGCCACCCAGGCGCCCCAUCAGUUGAAAAUAUUCUGACUAUUUGAGCAUUAUUGAAAUAUCAAUAAGUUGGAAGUUUGAGUAUUUAUUUAGUCUGGAAGUGUCCCAUUAACCCUACUUUUCAAGUGUUUACUAAGUAUUUAUUGUGGGUCUAAUUUUGCCAGGUGCAGGGGGCGUGGGCAGUCUGGGCCUAUCGAUGGCUCAGUGUCUUCUCCCUCAAUACUUGUGAUCUGAUUGGGGAUAUAAAACAAUUAGAAAAUUAGAUAUCUUAUAAUCAAGAAGCAAAACUGACAGAAAGGUAGUUUGUUUUAGUUCCACAGGCUUCUAGAAAGAAAAAGCAAGUGGCCCUGUCAAGUACCUUUCUCUAGGAGAAACUCUGUGCCUAUCAGUGUAUUAAUGGUUCCCUCUUUGGGGCGCCUGGGUGGCUCAGUCGGCUGAGCAUCCGACUUUGGCUCAGGUCAUGAUCUCACAGUUCAUGAGUUUGAGCCCCACGUCGGGCUCUGUGCUGACAGCUCAGGGCCUGGAACCUGCUUCGGAUUCUGGGUCUCCCACUCUUUCUCUACCCCUCCCCCACUCAUGCUCUGUCUCUCUGUCUCUCAAAAAUAAAUAAACAUUAAAAAAGAAUUUAAAGAGUGGUAUGCAAGCAGAGUCUAGAUGCUUAUUGGAGCUUUAAACAUUCUUGUUAUCUGUCAUCCUGUGUAAUUAUUAUCCUGCUAAAUGCAUUUCAGUACACUCAGGAAUGUUUUCUUCGACGAUAGGUCCAGGAGCUGGCCCAACUUCAGGCAUAGCUCUAUCCAGGUGCUCAAAUAAUGUUUCUCAGACCUUGUUUUGUUCUUGAUUUUGUUUUUUUCUCAGCUUUUGCCCUGUUUGCUAUGUUUUGGUUUCAUUUUCUAGCAGGUUCCUUUUCCACGUGGUUGGAAAGGUAUUCCCUGGUAACUCAUUCGUUCACUCGCCCAUUCUUCCUGUUGCUCUGGGGAACAUGAUUAAAUGAUUUUCCCAGCUUUGCUUUGCAAUUCAGUGUGAACCCAUGAUGGGUUCUGGUGAGUGGAACAUGGACAGAGUGAUGCGUGGCACCCUUUCUCACGAGCCUUUGCUCUCUCUCUCUCACACUCUUUUUUUUCUAGCUGCCUGUAGGUUCGAGGGACGCAGGCAGCAAGGACUCCAUGGCCCAGUGAUGGAGGGAGCCUGGCUUCCUGCUUCUCUGUAUAGAGGGUAACCUACCAAACACCCAUAGUGGAUUGUUAAGUGAAAAGAAAAAAAAGUCUAUCGUGUGAAGCCACUGCAAUUCUGGUGUUUGUGACUGCAAUUAGCCUAUCAGAAUCCAGCUCUCAUGAUGCCUCUGUCCAUAUCGGCUCUUGGAAAGAAUUCUCAUUAUGUCAACUUAAGGUAUUUGACCACACACUAGAAUAAUCAGGGUUUCCCAGGGGACUGAAGAGAGGUAGAAACACUUGAUUCCCACCAGAAACACAGGGAAUAGGAGCAAGAUAGUUUAUAAAAUGAAGAGAGGCAAGACAGGAAAAGACAAAGACGCUAUAGCAGUUGUUACAAGAUCAUACACAGGUUGGCAUUGGGUUCCAGACCUGGCUUGACUGUAACUUACAUGCAAGGCUGGGGGCGUGCUGCUCAACCUCACCAUGCAGUGUGGCAAUUGUGCUAGAUGGUUUCUUAAGUCUUUUUCUUUUUUUUUUUCUUUUUUUCUUUUUUUUUUUUAUUUUUAUUUAAAAAAAAUUUUUUUUUUCAACGUUUAUUUAUUUUUGGGACAGAGAGAGACAGAGCAUGAACGGGGCAGGGGCAGAGAGAGAGGGAGACACAGAAUUGGAAACAGGCUCCAGGCUCCGAGCCAUCAGCCCAGAGCCUGACGCGGGGCUCGAACUCCCGGACCGUGAGAUCGUGACCUGGCUGAAGUCGGACGCUUAACCGACUGCGCCACCCAGGCGCCCCUCUUAAGUCUUUUUCAACUUUGAGAUUAUUUGGUAACAAAAUGUAUCUUUCUUCCUACCAUUGGGUAUGACAAGGGAAAUAAUUGCCCUACCUACUUGAUGGAUGGUUAAUUAAGAAAAAGAUUGUGUAGGGAUGCCUGGGCGGCUCAGUUGGCUAAGCGUCCAACUCUCGGUUUUGAAUCAGGUUGAGAUCUUAUGGUUCAUGGGUUUGAGCCCUGCAUCAGGCUCCAUGCUGUCCACUGUCCCAGCUCUGUCUCUCUCAAAAUAAAUGAAUAAAGUUAAAAAAGAAAAAGAUUGAGUAUAGAUUUAGAAAUGGUAGAGACAGGGUCAAUUCAGCGGCUGGCAGCCAUGUGUGGUGGCCAUGUGGGCAGAACUGAGAAUAGAGGAAUUUAGCGGGAAAAUGUAGAAGGAAAGAGGCGCGUCUGGGUGGCUCAGUCGGUUAAGCAUCUGACUUCAGCUCAGGUCAUGAUCUCACAGUUCAUGAGUUCAAGUUGCAUGUGGGGCUCUGUGCUGACAGCUCAGAGCCUGGAGCCUGCUUUGGAUUCUGCCUUUCCCAGUCUCUCUGCCCCUUUGCCGCUCACACUCUGUCUCUCUCUGUCUCUCAGAAAUAAACUUGAAAAAAAAAAUGUUCUUGUUUAAACAAAAAAGAAAACGUAGAAGGAAACAGAAUGUUUCCAGGAGCAUGAACAGUGCCUGAAAGGUGCAAGGCAGUAAGAAGCGACAUUUAUAAAGAUUUACAGGGAUAAUAGCAAAGAACCAAAAUAAACAGCAAGAGCCACCUGUGGAGUCACUUGGGAACUGUAAGGUCUUAGCCAUAAGAACAUGGCGGAAUGUAACAGAAGGGGAAAGGGUGGAAAGAGUCAGGAUUGACAAGCUGAGAUGCAGACCUAGUCAGUCCGGAACAGAUGAACUUUACCUUAUUUUUUAAUGUUUAUUUAUUUUGAGAGAGAGAGGGCACGAGUGAAGAAGGAGGUGAGAGAAAGGGAGAGAGAGAAUCCCAAGCAGGCUCUGUGCUAUCAGCACAGAGCCUGACAUGGGGCUCGAUCUCACGAGCCAAAAUCAAGAGUUGGGGACUUAACCAACUGAGCCACCCAGGUGCCCCCAACUAAUUAUAUUUUUGAAAUGAAUUGGAUGAUGUCUCUUAAUUUUUCUCAUACUACUUUCUAAUCAGGGGUCCUAUUUUGAAUCUAAGUUGAUGUCUAUGCAAGUGGGGGAAGCCCAGACAUGAGGGACCAAGUUGUGUCUUGGGAGAGGGAUGCUUUUGAGAAAAGAUCUGGGGUCACAUUCUAUUUUUUUUAAGUCUGUUUGUUUGUUUGUUUAUUUAUUUAUUUAUUUAUUUAUUUAUUUUUAUAUGAAAUUUAUUGUCAAAUUGGUUUCCAUACAACACCCAGUGCUCAUCCCAACAGGUGCCCUCCUGAAUGCCCAUCACCCACUUUCCCCUCCUCCCACCCCCCCAUCAACCCUUCAGUUUAUUCUCAGUUUUUAAGAGUCUCUUAUGGUUUGCCUCCUUCCCUCUCUGUAACUUUUUUUCCCCCUUCCCUCCCCCAUGGUCUUCUGUUAAGUUUCUCAGGAUCCACAUAAGAGUGAAAACAUAUGGUAUCUGUCUUUCUCUGUAUGACUUAUUUCACUUAGCAUAACACUCUCCAGUUCCAUCCACAUUGCCACAAAAGGCCAGAUUUCAUUCUUUCUCAUUGCCAAGUAGUAUUCCAUUGUGUAUAUAAACCACAAUUUCUUUAUCCAUUCAUCAGUUGAUGGACAUUUAGGCUCUUUCCAUAAUUUGGCUAUUGUUGAAAGUGCUGCUGUAAACAUUGGGGUACAAGUGCCCCUAUGCAUCAGCACUCCUGUAUUGGGGUCACAUUCUAGAUUCAACAGAACAUGAUUCAGUGUUUUGGGACAAUCUGUAGAGACACUCGUCAUGGUGACAGAUCUUAUAAACGCACAUCUGAGUUGUGGGAGCUGUGAAACCAAAAACACAGGGAGAACUGUAUUCACUAAAGCUCUUUAACACACUCCUUUCUUCCUGAUCCAUCAAAUAUUUGUUGAACACUUACUAUGUGCCAGCGCAGACAUUGGGAAAUAGUGACAGGUGCCUGCCUUAGCUGAUUUCCAGGCGGGUAAGACCCCGGGUGAACAAAGUCACCCAAGAAAAUGUCACCUGGAGAUGAGGAAACAAUCAGAUUAAUGAAAUGGACCAGGAUUAGCUGCUUGCGGGGGCCAGAUUUCUUGGUGAACCAGCCAUGCAGGGAACAGAGUGUUUCAGGCAGUGGGGAUAACAGUUGCAAAAGCCCUGAGGAAGGAAGGAGCUGGCAUGUUCUAUAACCUGAGAGGAGGCCAGAGUGACCACAGCACAGUGAACAGGGUUAGAGAGACAGGAAGUGCCCUGGUCAUGUAGCAGGAUUUCUUAACCGCGGGUCUAUUAUUGUCAUUUGGGACCAGAAAAUUCUCUAUUGUUGGAGGUUGUCCUGUGCAUUGCAGGAUGUUUUGCAGUGUCUCUGGCCUCUACCCACUAGAUGCCAGUAGUACCCCCCAGUUGUGACAGAUAACAAUGUCUUCAGACAUUGCCGCAUGUGUUUUGGGGGUUAGAACCAAAGGGAAGGUAGAACACCAAGGAGGGCUACUAGAAUGUGAAAUGGAAGAGGAGAAGGGCAUUGUGAUGGUUAAUUUUACAUGUCCACUGGCUGGGUCAAUGGUGCUCAGCCAUUUGGUCAGAUUGUAUCCCAGAUACUUCUGUGAAGGUAAUUUUAAGAUGAGAUUGACAUUUAAAUCAGUAAACUUUGAGUAAAGCAUUUUACCCUCCAUAAUGUGGUGGGCCUUGUCCAAUCAGUUGAAGUUCUUAAGAGAAAAAAGACUGACCUUUUCCUCCAAAAGGGAAUUCUGCCAAUAUACUGCCUUUGGACUUGAGCUUCAACAUCAAUUCUUCCUUGGGUCCCCAAGCCUUAGAUGAGUCUUUGGACUUACCAGUCCACAUAAUUUCAUGAACCAAUUCCUUAAAAUAAAUUCUCUGUCUCUCUCUCUCUGCCUAGAUAUCUAUAUCUAUAUCAUCUAUAUCUAUAUCUAUAUCUAUAUCUAUAUCUAUAUAGAUAUUCUACAAAUUCUAGCACCUGACAAGUGCCACUGCCUUGGAGGUUGGGACUAGAGGGUAGGGGCAAUAGUGGGGGUGGCUGGAGCCCAACCAAGAGCUUCGAGAACACCACAGAGAACAGAUGCUUUGUCAGGGAGGGCAGUUGUUUUUGCAGGGGGGCCAGAGUGGGGCCAGCAGUUAGACAGUCUCAGAGAUCUUUAUGGUUGAGGGAGGCCUCAGUGAGAGCUUGUAAGGGCAGAGAAAGCUUGUCCCAAAGUAGGGCAGAGAAGCUUGUCCAUGGUGCACAUGAGGUGCUCUGGGGACCCUCCUACUAAUGAGCAGGCAGGAGUUUUGGUGGGGCCGAAGACAACGUCAGGAGAGGCGAUAGUCAAGGAAAUACAGCCACUGCCAUUUGGUGAUGACAUUUUAACUCCCAGGCUUGUGCACAGAAACUGGGGAUGUAGAUAUGUGAGAAGGACCUCAGUGUAGGUGUAAUUUAUUCCCUGGUGGUCUCACAACAGUGCCCAGGUGCAGACAGACUCCCUGCUUUCACCCUGAUUCAGAGGUAACAAAACCAGAGUCUAGGAAGCAGGGACAAACAUACCAGCACUUUCCACCUCUGGGAGCACACUUAAAGAGGUACUUCCGUCGCCAAAUGAAUAUACCUGGCUUUUAAUGCACAAAAACAAAGGACACAUCAUCUCACCGGACACCUGGAAGAGGGAUUCUUUCCCAAGAGAGGCCAGAGGGGUGAGAAAAAGUGGUUUUUCCUCUCCUUCCUGCUAGGAAAACACUAGAGCUGGCUGAUUCAAAGGGGAGAUUGAAGAGAAGCUUCUUUUUAUAGAUGUUGGUUUUGGAGUGCGUUCCAGCAAAACCGUCACAGGUGUCCAUCCCGUCUACUCAGUAAACUUGCUGUGACCUGACCGUAAGGGGAAGCUUUGGCGGCCUCCACUCCUGGGCUAUGUUGCUGACCCAACCUGAAACCCUUCUUUAGGGUGAGUCAGCAACAUAUCCCAUGACUUUUGGGCGAUAGGUUCUUUUAUAUAAGACCAUAAAGCAAAAGGCCCUUUCUGCAUCGUGUUGAAUUUCCCAGAGGCUAUUACCAGGGAUUAGACCGAGGUAAAGAAAUUCAAGAGAUACUGCUAAAAAGCAUUGAGGAAUUCAUAACUUGGCUCCGUCAUGCCCUUCAAGCAUUUGUGGAGAGCAAAUAAGACCGUGGGUAAUUGAGAAUAAAAUGUGUUGCUUUUCACACAUUGGAAGAACUCAAGUGAAAAUAAAUCCCUUUAAACAUUUUAAUUUCAAUUAACUUCAUAUUAUAAGACACACACAUACACAGUCACACAUUUUUUUGGCUUGCCUUCCUUUUGCUAUGGAUGUGGUUCUCCAAACCCACUGUUACAGCAGCACAUGAAAGUUUUUCUUAAAAAUUAUCCAAUUUAUAACCUAAAUAUAAAAAUCUCAAAAAAAAAAAACCCUAUGUCAACACAUAACUAAUGAAAUAGUUUUGAUCUUUACUGGUCUGGCCUUUGUUUGUUUGUUUGUUUUGGCCUUCUGAUGCUCAUUCUAGGUCACUGGUGAUCUAGUUUUCACCCUACUGAUGCUGCUCAUGGCUAACCCUUCUGUUGGUAAUGGUGGCUCUCUCUAGGUGCUGCAUACACUCUAAUGCUCUCCUCUCUUAGGUAUUGAUCUCAGACACUUCAACACCAUGACGACCCAACAUCAUGGUUGACAACUGCCUGUCUAGUGUAUAAGACAGAUGAUCAAGGUGAUAGGACCACGUGAUCUCAGAUUCUAACUGGUAGGUUAGUAUCAUCCAGAUCUGUUCAUUUCAGCAUUUUACUUAAACAGAAGGCACAGUUUGGUCAACCCUGAACAAAAAUGGAUAUUCCUUGAGGAGGAAUUGUUGGUAGCAAAAAAAAAAAAAAAAUCAAACAAAAACAAAAACAGAAACAAAUCUUGUUCUUUGCACUCAAGAAAUCCGGUCAGGGCCGGGGAGCCUGGGUGGCUCAGUCGGUUAAGCGUCUGACUUCGACUCAGGUCAUGAUCUCAUGGUUCAUGAGUUGAAGCCCUGUGUUGGGCUCCGUGCUGACAGCUCAGAGCCUGGAGCCCGCUUCAGAUUCUGGGUCUCCCUCUCUCUGUGCCCCUCCCCUGCUCGCACUCUGUCUCUCUUUCUCUCUCUCAAAAAUAAAUAAAACAUUAAAAAAAAAAUCUGGUCAUGGUCAAAUCCAACAGGUGACGUGACUAGUUCUGUGACUGAGCAGAUGACUCAACUUAUUCUGCAUUUCAGUUUCCCUGUCUAUAAAGCAGGGCUAAUAAUAAUCAGCCCUAACUCACACACAGGGUUGCAGUAAUCACAAGCAGUGAGAUAGGAGAAAGUGGUUGUAAGUUUGAAAGCAUGCCAGGCUCAUGUAAGAUGGCAUUCAGUCACUAAUAAUUAUUGAACAGUCACUAAUGUACUGUCACCCUUUGUGUGUUAAGCUCCAAGUUCAAUAUCCAAUGUUGUAUAAAUAGGUAAGACGUGGUCCCUGCCUCUAGUGAGUGCGCGAGGAGAAGCCCAUGAAAUAAGGAGAAACUAACAUCCUCUCACAUUACAUAAAUUUCACAUUACUGAGAAGUAGUGAGGAUUGAAACUCUGUGAUUAAUCCUUUUCACAGACAUUUAAAUAGCAUUGAUUGAAUGUUUGUGCUUCGGGUUCAAUUUUGUUUUUGAGUCAAGGUGGUAAGGUUGACACCUUUACUUAAUUUAUUAAAAUAGAACUUUUCUUUAAAUUACAAAAAAACCCCUAUAUUCAUUUAAACUAAAGACUACAGAAAGUAGAAAUUAUAGGUCCUUUGGUUCUAUGUUUGAAUCCCCAGCUACAGCUCUGAUGCCUUAGACCGACAAUUGCUUAUCGUUAAAGUGAGGCUCAUAAAUACGGAUGCAAAAAUCUUAUGGGAAUUAUGAGGAAAGUGAUUUAAAAUGCCAAGGAUAAUAUUUGGUGGGUGUUUAAUAAAUGCGGGUUCUUUUCUCCUUCCUUUAUUUUGAAAGUUAAUUUGAGUGGAAUUAACUUUAUAUGUAAUAUAGUCAUCUGAAGAAAGCCCGAUCUGUAAUGAAUAUAUAUUUGGCUCACUUUUCAGGUUCCAUUUGUGCAUAAUGAAUGCUUCCAAAUCUCAAGUGCCCAGCGGAAGGGCCUUCUACUCCAUUUUACAAAUGAACGUGCUCAAGGACUUUUCAGACAGUUGAUCAUUAACUCUCAGGAAAUGCCUGACCCUCACAUUCUCCUGGCUGCUUCACAUUUUUUGAGGAAAAGGUACAUUUGAAAAAUUGUCUCUUUGUUUGUUGAAUAACUUUAAUCUCCAACCAGUCAUUUCUUUUUCCCGUGGGCACAAACACACUAAAGUGUCCUCUCUGAGUAUUUAAAGACCGAAGCAGUCAAAAUAAGUCAAGAGUGAAGCUCCACUUGUAUUAUUCUGUAGGAGUGGUUUUAGUGUAAAUGAUGGAAAGACAUCUUGCCGGUUGGCUAGGAAAGCGAAGAGGUUUUCUCUUGUACCUCACGUGGUACGACUCAGGGCAUCUCAGAUGUAGUAACUACACUAAUGAAAAUAGGUGCCGUUUGCUCCUCAGUUAAAGUAGGAGGUCCCCAAGAAGAGUGGCUAUGCUGAAGGCCAUUUCUAGAAAGUCCGCCAUGGGGUAGAAUGGUUCUCAUGGUGACACAUGAAAAUCUCAGCUUUUCUUUAAAGAGUGUCCCACACAAAGCCUGCACUUCGGUGUCACAGAGUCAGUUUCCCACCGGACUCCACAUCCUUUGCCGUGAUCUAGGCAAGUUGGUGGCCUUUUCUGAGCCUCAGUGUCAUUUGUGAUGGGGGCGGCGCUCACGAGAAAGUUGAGAGGAGAGCAGGAGAAAAUAUAUUCAUAUUUCUAGCAUACAGUAGGCAUGUAAUCUCUGCUCUUUUACUCUCUGGCUCCCCUCACUAAACAUGUUAGGCUAGAUAGUUUUCAAACUGAAUGUCUGGCCUUUUACGUAUGGCAAGCUACAAAGUGCUUUCAUAUACAUGAUCUCCGUUGGUUUUCCAAAACAACCCUGUGAGGUCGGUGGGCUUGGGCUUAAUAUCAACACUAUUUUGUACAUAAAGAAUCAGUGCUCAAAGAGGUUAUGAGAAUUAGCUACCCUAACUCACUUGGCCGGUGACGGAAGAUGCAGGCAGAGGGUCCAGGCCUUUUGGCACCCAUGUCUGCGCUUGGCCGUCCCCCCGCUUUGUAACCCCAGUUUUGUCGACGAUCCAAACGGCAAACUCGAGUGGAUUCUUCUUGUUCUCUCAUGAUAACUGGAGCAGUCAGGGUUCACCCAGAGAAGCAGAACCGGUAUCAGAUUUAUUGCCAGGAAUUGGCUUGCCCGGUUGUGCGGACUGGCUAGGCAGGUCUGGAGUCUAGUGGGGGGAGGGGUCAAGAAAGGAAGGUCGCUGAGAUGCCGGAAUCCCAAGAAGUGUGGAGUCUCUGAAUUCAGGGAGGGACGGCCUUCUUUUAAAGGGCUUCCUGGGGCGCCUGGGUGGCGCAGUCGGUUAAGCGUCCGACUUCAGCCAGGUCACGAUCUCGCGGUCCGUGAGUUCGAGCCCCGCGUCGGGCUCUGGGCUGAUGGCUCGGAGCCUGGAGCCUGUUUCCGAUUCUGUGUCUCCCUCUCCCUCUGCCCCUCCCCCGUUCAUGCUCUGUCUCUCUCUGUCGCAAAAAUAAAUAAACGUUGAAAAAAAAAAAAAUUUAAAGGGCUUCCUACCCAUUAAGUCGGGUCCACCCGGAUGACCUCCCUAUGGAGCAACUGGAAGACAGCUAAUUAGAAAGACCUUGAUCAUAUCUGCAAAAUCCCUUCACAGCAGCACCCACGUUAGUGUUUGACUGACUCGCCGGGAGAAGGCAUGUGUCUGCCAUCACAUGGCCUCUGUCCACCUUCCUUUCCCCAAAUUCCCAGGAGAGGACAUCCCUUGGAGUCCACUCUCACCAGAACAUACUAGAAACGGAAUCCUUGGGAUCCUACUCCGUUGAGCCGAGUUGAAAAAAAAUCACACAGCCAUUGUGAUAACACCCAGAAGCCCACCUCUGAAAGGUGGUUUUCUAGUAAAGUAUUUCUGUGGCCGUUGUGCACACGUUCUGGUCACCGUGAGGGAAGACUGGGGAAGUGAUUGCUCAUGAGUUUACCCUUCGCGUUUUCUGCUAUCAGGUUCCAGGGACAGAGCUGUUACGCUCACAAGCUCUUGUGGAUUGGAUUUCUGGGACAUUCCCAGAGAAGUUGCUCAGACACGGUGAGCGUCUGGUGGUAGUUACUGUGGGCGCAGGACUCACAGCUGAACUUGAGGUAUGUCACUGUGUCAGGCUAAGCCAAACGAAGCAAAGCCAGCUGAACCAAAUAAAAAUGACAACUAUAGCCAUAGGUCAACAAGCAAGAUCGGCGGCAGUGAUAACGAACGGCAUUAGGGCUUUUUCAUGUGUAAGGUUUUUGUUCUUGAGGACUAGAAUUAUUUGGUGAUGCUGAAAACAAUCAAGGAUGGCAUACCUGGGGACAGACCAGCCGUGUGCCUUUAUCAAGCACUGAAUACUCUUUUGUCUUUGUGCCUGGCGGAAUAUUCCACUACAAAGUUGUAUUAGUUGAUUCUUCAGAGAAACAGAACCAAUAGAUGUGUGUAAACACACACACAUGUACGCACACACACACACACAGAAAUUUAUUGUAAGGAACUGGCUUAUGUGAUUUUGCAGACUGACAGGUCCCAAGAUCAGCAGUCAGCCAGCUGGAGACCCAGGAGAGCCAAUGUCUCAGUUUGAAUCCCAAGGCAGAAAAAAAAAAAAAUCCAUGUUCCAGCCCAAAGGCAGUCAGACAGGAGGAAUUUAGGGGAGGCUCAGCCUUCUGUUCUAUUUAGGCCUUCCUUCAACUGCUUGGAUGAGGCCCACCCGAAUUAGAGAAGGAAAUCUGCUUCAUUCAUUCGAUCAAUUUCAAUGUUAAAUUCAUACAAAAGCACCCUCACAGAAACACCCGGAUAAUGUUUGACCAGAUAUCUGGGUCGCCUGUGGCCUAGUCAAGUUGACUCAGAAAAUUAAUCCUCAUACUAGUUUUAGUUUAUAGCAAACACAAAAGAAAUUCCCCGAAAGAGCUCUACUCCUUUUUUCUCAGGAUCCCUGGACUUUUCCUCUGGUUUUCUCAGCUCAGAGCAUUCCAAAUGUGUUUUCCUUCAAGCCCCCCACGACUUUUGUGCGUGUGUGUGUGUGUGUGUGUGUGCACGUGUGUUUUGCCCAGAAACAUAAAGUAGAGCUCUACUGCCGGUGUUGUUACCUGGGACAGCCGUCUAUCAGCUACCCAUGCAGCAGGGAUUGUCCCCGUGUCAGCACCAGCUGGUGGGAAGGUAUUACCCUCAGGCAUCCUUGUUGCCGAGCUCUGGUUGCUGUACUCAGUCCGUGCUGAGAGGACCCCUACCCUGGAAGUAAAAGUUUAGUGAGUGUGGCAUUCAGGAACACAUAUAUGAGAGGUUUGGGGGAGAUUGCAAAAAUGGCCCGAGGUUUUCAUGCCUACAGUGUGACUUUGCAGCUCCUCUUAUCAAUAAGUGGGUUUUUAUUUCCCCACUUCUUGAAAUAGGUUGGCCUUGUGACUGGCUUUGGCUACAGACGCAUGGACGUGAUAAUGCGCUAGUUUUGAGCUCAGGCUCCGAGAGGCCUUGCAUACUUCCAUAUUUUCCUCUUGGAGCCCUGUCCAGAUAAUCUAUGAAUAAGCUCCCGCCAGCCUGUUGGAGGAUGAGGGAAUGUGGAACAGAGAUGAGCCGUUGCAGCUGAAACAUUUCUAGACCAGCCUCCCUCAACUGGCCUAGUAGCCAACCACAAAUGCAUUAAUGACCCCCGCCGGGACCAGAAGAGCUCCCCAGUUGAGCACUGAUCACAGCCCCAAUUACCAGGCUGAAGAGCUAUGAGCUACAGAAGUGGCUAUUGUUUUAGGUCAUUAAGUUUUGGGGUGGAUUGUUAGUGUCUUCGAAUUUCAGCAUAUGAAACCGGAUGACAUAAGACACUGGGCUUGCGUAUCUGGGAUCUGGUUUAAGAAGGCGUGGCUCUGGCUUCCCUCUCACUCUUGUUCAAGUAAAUGCAGGUUCUAACUGGCCAAGUGGCCUGAGCAGGUGAUAACUACACUCAUUUCCUACUGCAUUUAUAAUCUCCUGCUGAAUUUCCGUGACCUCAGUGGGGUCACAGAUUUGAAGAAUUAUAGAGCGAUUUGGUGGAGGUGAAAGAACAAUUUCAGAGGAGAUUCAUAGGUUCUGAUGACUAUGAAUCAUACCUUAAGAAUUUGUGGCUACCUUUGAAGUGCAAACCACAGGAUGUAUCUGAUUUAUUCAGCAUCUGUGCUGUUCCUGUGGUUCAGUUUCCAAAAGACCUGACUAAGCUGAAAAUGAACUGUGCCCCCAACAAGACCAUUGGUAAAAAACGUUGGGUGUGUUAACCAGAAUUUUUCUGAAUUUUCUGGCCACAUGGCCAAAAUUUCGCUCAAGUGUGGGCUUUAUGGAAAUGACUUUGGGGAAACGUUUUCUUUUAUGAGGCUUUUAAGAUCAAAGCUGAAUCUCUCCUAGAGAUACAGAUUGUGAUUCAGAAACGCCAUGUGCCCUAACUGAAUGUACUCCCGAGAUUCUUCAGAGCAGUUCAGUUUAAUAGAAGUUUCUUUACUUACUAAGAUGUCCAAGUGACGGCCACCUGACUGACAAGGAUGGAGUUUUGAAUGUGUUUGGCUUAAAAACGUUUUUUUUUUUUUUUUAGUUCGCUUUCUAUUGAGUAAAAAGAAAGCAUAUACCAGAGUGUUCUCUAAUUCUAAACCUAAUCCAGUUAGUAUACAAUCUGGUAGACAGUUGAGUGAAACCCAAUGAAUGGUUUUCAUUUACUUUACUUGCUUUGUUGAGUUGAAGGGCCUGGUGUAAUACUACGGAACUUUCUAGGAAUUAUGUAUCGGUUGAAACGAUUAGGCAAUUUGUUGGAGAAAUCUCGUGGCUUCACCCCCCCAGCAACCUGCUCGUUUUUGAAAUAUUUUCUAUUAUGAUUGGAAAAAGAUCCUGUUUUUCAGCUGACAAAUGACCCCAUCCUUCCUCAGAAACGUAUUCCCUUUAGAGGCCUAUUUCAUUUCGGCAAAAGACGCUCUACCUUCCUAAGGGAGGACGUUAUGCUUUUGGCUGAGGGAAGCCCAGACUUGAAAUGAAAAAAGCUAUUGAUUAGCUUAUUACCAUUAUUAUUAAUAGUGGUAGUAGUCACUAUAUUUAUUGGGUCUGGGGCAAGACACUAAGUAAAAUUACCCACAUCGUCGUCUCCUUUAAUACCCACAACAACCCUCUGAGACAGGCAUUGCUAUUAUCCCCAUUUUCAGAUGAGGAAACGGAGGCAGAGAGAAGUCAAAUGGCUUCCCCACAUGGCUUAGUGGGAAAAUGGAAGAGGUGGGGCCCGAACACAAUUUUGUUAGGCUCAAACCUCCUAGCUUUUUCCAAAUACUCUAUGGUAUUAAAUCAAGUACUAAAGAAUCUCUUUUUUUUCUUAUCUUAUCAAAAUAUGAUGGUUAGUGGCAGCUCCUUUGCACAGCCAAAGUGGGUGAUUAAAACCGUACAGGAGAAAAAAUGAAUUUCCCUCUACCCUCCUGAGCUCUUGGCUGAGACCCCCGCAAUAAAAGACCAAAAGAUCAACAAGAGAAAAACAAGUUUAUCAGUAACAUGUAGCCCUCAUACAUAAAUGUGAGGCACCCAGGGAAAAUGAGUAAUUCAGAGAGGCGGCUUACAAUUUGGGCUUAAAUACCACCUUAACAGGGAAAAGGGGAGGGAGGAGGCAGGCCUCUUCGGGGAGGGUAAAUGAUUUCUGGAAAAGAUGGUUUGGGAUGGAGAUUGCCUGGGUGUGCGGUCCGCCUACAGUGUCCUCCCCUGGAACAAGACUCCACCUUCCUUGGGGGAUGAACUUCCUGGGGAGAAAUUUGUACCAACUGACUUGCUCCUGGAGGAUGCGUCUUCAGGCAGAUGAGAGCUCAGAGAAGGCCUUUCCUUGCCUUUGCUGUUGUUCAAGCGCCGGCGGCUCGAAACAACGGCUAUCCUCCCGGGGCAUAUUUUGGAGCGGCAGGUCCCGUGACCCUUCAAAACUGAAUGUCCGUUGGUUUAGCUUUUGGUCAAGGGACCUUGCGUGCUCACUCCUGGAAUAGAGAAGGCGGGAUGAUGUCAAGUUCAACACCUCUGUUGGGUCCUAUUCUGCGGGAUCUUUUAGAGUCUGGAUGCCAUUCCCGGCUGAAAAUGAUGCCCCUGUCCCAGAGAUGGGAUGGGAGGGGGCGGGGGGUGGAGGAAGAGAGGAAGAACGGGCAGUGGAAGAGAGAGGGAGAGAUGGAGACUGAGAGAGAGAGCUACAACCAACCACUGACCGUCUGACAUCUUUCUACGUUCCAUCGCUUGCAGCCAGGACGCGACCGUGCACCCCUUAGGAUUUCGGCUGCAUCGCCUGAAAAAGGAAAGGUCAUACAUAACACAUGGUAAGGUGAGGCCUCUUUCUGGUCUCGUUGUAAUAAAUUCCAUACACAGCUCGUUUCAUUUCCGCUCAGCCAUUCGCCCGUCAGAGGCAACUGCAACCCGCCGUGUCUCCACCAGCCAAGCACGUGUUAGUCGCCACGUGGGCCAAGGCCGUGUGGCCCCUGUCCCGCAAAGCCCACGAGGUGCAGGCAUUUUGAAAUGUCUUAGAGCAAAAGCCCCAGUGGGGCCUUCUCUUGCAGGACUGAAUUCCUGGCUGGACGGAAUGGCCGAUGCCUUUCCCAAGCGAGAAACACGUUGGUGACAUUUCCCGGCAGAAACGCGGACUUUGCGAGUGGGGCGAAUCCCACGGUGCGGGGGAGGCGGCAGAUGGGUUCUGAAAACGGGGGCUCGAUGGGUCCACGGCGUGGCAGCGUGCCCGGGGCCGCCGUGGAGAAAGCCUCCGACAGAGGAGAGGGAAGCUCCCCUUUCUCAGGAAUGAGUCACUCGCUCCACGUUUGCAGGGUGCUUCGCACGCCCGCCUGGCGGAACAGGAAGGCCCGUAUUGUGCUCAAUUGUUUUCCUGAAUGCCUUUCUCAACAACAGCAGAAGGAAACAUUACCGUUUGGCCUCAAGCCAUCCAGGCCACUCGGUACUCACAGCGCUUAGAAUGUCAAAGUCGGGCUCAGCCGAGGCAGGCAGGGACCCACGGCCGCAGUUUAUUUCUGUCUGUGUUUCAGAUUAAACGGCUGCCUCUCGAAGCAAACAAUCCCGGGUGAUUUAAGACAACGGGAACUCCCUUUUACUAGAAACAGCCGCGACCCAAAGUCUGACCGUUUGUUUUAUGAGCCUGUUUCUUGGCCAGUAACCCCGAGGGUGGGGGUGGGGGUGGGGGUGGGGGGGGCGGCUGACACCACCACCCACUGAGUCACCUGAAUAACGUAUGAAAGGCUCUGCAAGCCAGCUACCUCCUUCUCGGAUCCAAUAGUUCCGGGAGACUGGACGGGUGGGGAAAGUGUGGCCUGGGGAAAAGCCGAAGGAGGAAACCAGAAGGUUCGUGAACACAGGAAGGGAAGAGAAAGAGCUUGCCCCCGCCUGGGGCUCUCUAGCCUCUGGGUGGAAUUAUGGGGACAGUAAGGUCCUAGUAAUGGCUGUGAAGCUCCUCGGUGACCUUACCUCCCACCUGCACUCUGGAAAGUCCCUCCCCAUCACUGCUGAGGGUCUCCUGCUGGGUGAUAUCCCUCCUGUGCUCAGUAACACAUCUAGAUCCUUCUUCCUCCUUGGACACCUUUGUCCCCUGCCUCUUUCUCAGCUGCUGCCGCUGUUCCUGAAAAGCCUAGCCCAUUGGGCUCAGGGGCCAGAAAAUAGGGUCUGGGGAUAGAGUAGCGAGGAUGCUUGUCUCCUAAAGCCAGAAGUGCUCUGGGUCCCAGCAGCCCUCACUGUUGCAGUGUCUAAAAGCAUCCUUCUUGCCAGUUUCUUAAACUUCUCUCCACUGAGGUUUAAGCUGGAGGCCAUGGUGCGGGUGGGGGGGUGGAGGGAACGGCAGCAGGAGGCAGGCAGAUUCUACUCCAGAUCCUUCCUCCAGGUCUCCUGGCUCCCGGUCCUGUCCCUGUUCCUUCUUUCAGGUUCUCUGGAACCGGCUCCAUCCACUCCUCCGGCCCUGGCCCCGAGCAGCUCACAAAGAGGUAACCCGCUGCAAAGCGAGAGCUGUGGCGGGUUUCUUGGCCCACCUGCUCUGACACCAGGAAAGCUGAAAUCAGUUUGGGCGCACCCAGAAAAGCCUCAUGAGCUUAUUCCAUAUCCUCGGGGAGUUUUUGUCAGUCUGUAUUAAUACAUACCCAAAGCAGGUGGGUUACCAAGAAGUGAGCCACGCUCAAAAUAGUUGUGGCGACUCGACUAAGGCAAACAGGUUCCUUGCUGGAGGCUUCUCCGAGACGUAACCGUGCAGCCGUGCGCUGUGGUUUUGCAAAGAGGUCAGGCUGUGCAGGGGUAGCUUGUGCCUUAACCUGGUUAAGUCCUUCCUACACUCUCUGGUUCCGAAGGGGGAACUCUAGGCAGGUGCGUUUCCUACAACUGAGUGGCCCUUUCUUAGAGAAUUCAGAUUCACUGGAUAGCAAGCUUUGUGGCUGCCUCCAGCACCCCUAAACACAUUGGGGGGGGGCAGGGGGACGUCCAAGCUCAGGAGAAGGGCAGGCUUACAGCUCUCAGAACCCAGGGCAGGGUAACAUGUGUGCUGCUGAAGGUGGAAGCAGCCAGAGUUCAAAUUUAGUGCACUUCACUGGGGAUGGGCUGGAGGUGGGGGGUGGGGGGCAGCCAUUAUGAUGGCAGGUUCUAGCAGGGCAGCUGGUUGAGAAGGGGCCAGAAGCCUCAUCCUUUUAGCGGAGCUGACUGGGAGAGUCAGGGUUCCCAACGAAAACAGCCCAGCUUGUACAGCGAGGGUGCGGAUGCUUACAUGUCGCACAGCCCGCUCAGGUGCCUGGAAAGCAAGCAAACCGAGUCUCAACGACACAAAGAAAACCGAUCACACUCUGAAAUCCAAACAUCGCGUUUGCGCACACGUCCUGCCGCCACUGUGUUGUAACCAGAUGGAAUCAUCUUGCUCAUUUCUUGGACCCAGAGUGAAAACUAGCGCUCCAUUCUGGAGCCCAAACACCCGGGGGCCAGUGGUGAAGGGGGAAGGUCUGGAAAACACAGUCAACCGACAGUCUCGCUCAUGUUGGAACCCACUGCCACCUUUUUUUUUUUCUUUUUUAAAAAGAAAUAUCUAUGAAAACUUCUUGGGAAUAACGUUUCACAGAGCCCAGGUAGGAAAGUGCUUGUCUACACAGAUUCCAACUGUCUUUGUUGUCUGUACAGAGAUGGAAGAGAUAAGCAGACUAGCUGAAUCAGAAAUGAACAUGCGACCCUGUGGGAACAUGACAGGUAUAUUAUCCCUGAACAACUCAGGCAACAACAGAUGUUGGCGAGGAUGGGGAGAAACGGGAACCCCCUUGCACUACUGGUGGGAAUGCAAACUGGUGUAGCCGCUCUGGAAAACAGUGUGGAAGCUCCUCAAAAAAUUAAAAAUAGAUCUACCCUACGACCCAGCAAUAGCACUGCUAGGAAUUUACUCAAGGGAUACAAGUGUGCUGUUUCGAAGGGGCACAUGCACCCCGAUGUUUAUAGCAGCACUAUCGACAAUAGACAAAGUAUGGAAAGAGCCGAAAUGUCCAUCGACGGAUGAAUGGAUAAAGAAGAUGUGGGAUAUAGAUACAAUGGAGUAUUACUUGGCAAUCAAAAAGAAUGAAAUCUUGCCAUUUGCAACUACGUGGAUGGAACUAGAGUGUCUUAUGCUAAGCGAAAUAAGUCAUUCAGAGAAAGACAAAUAUGUGAUUUCACUCAUAUGUGGAAUUUAAGAAACAAAACAGGUAAACAGAAGGAAAGGGAAGCGAAAAUAAGAUAAAAACAAGGAGACAAAUCAUAAAAGACCCUUAAAUAGAAUAAACUGAGGGUUGCUGGAGGGGUUUUGGGUGGGGGGCGGAUGGGCUCAGUGGGUGAUGGGCAUUAAGGAGGGCACUCGUUGGGAUGAGCACUGGGUGUCCUAUGUAAGUGAUGAAUCACUAAACUCUAUUCCUGAAGUCAUUAUUACUAUAUGUUAAGUGACUUGGAUUUAAAUUAAAAAAAAAAAAAAAACUUAAGUAUUGGAAAUAUGUUACAGAAUGGACAUAGGCCAAUUUAAAUGGUUCAAAGGAUAGCCACCAUCUAGAAAUAUAUCUACCUUUUGCAGGCAUCACACACAAUUAUAAAACAGCAACAAAAAUUAAGAACUGUACAAGAAAUGCUAAACAUUGCACCAAUUAUUUGACUUAAAAAAUGGCCAAGGUGGGGGGGGGGGAAGAGGCAUUAUCUUCCAAGGAUGAAGUGCUGGUGGAGGGAGGAGAGGGAGGGAGGUACUGAGAAGAGAGCCAGAUUACGGCUUGUGUAAGUCGUGAUGACAAUGGCUGUUUACCAAGAAUAGGAAAAGGGAAGAAGGCACGGUAUUUGGAAGAGAGGGAAGACAGUGAGUUCCUUUUGGACAGGGCUUACAGACACCCGAGUGGAAAUAUCCACCAGGCGGGCCGAUAUAUGAGUCUGGAGCUCAGAGACGUCUGGGCUGGAGACGUAACUUCGGGUCAACAGAGAACUGAAGCCAUGAGUGUGCAUGAGAUCACUGGAGACAGUGGUGCGGGAGCAGCAGCAGUGGGGCCUGGGCUGGGCUGGAGGAGGGAACCCGGAGGGAGGCCAGGCUGGGAGGCGACAGGAACCGAGGAGCCAGAAAGUCAGCUGCACCUCCAGGUAGCCUCCUCAGAUGGACACAAACCUGCCUGAGCCAGGAACCGUGCGGAUUCGCCUUAAACAGUUAAAACGGGGCCCAGUUUCCUUUGUCACUGUUACUUGUCAUUGGCACUCUAAAGUAGGGUUUUCAGAACACUUCUUCAAUGAUUUUGGUUUUAAAAAAUUCUGCAAGGAACUUGUGAAGGUUAGGAUCCGCCCCCCCUUCCCCUGGUUCACUGGGGUAUAAUUGACAAAUAAAAUCAUGAGAUAUGUGAAGGGUACAAUAUCUGAUUUCAUGUACGUGUACAUUGUGAGACGGUUCCUUCCAUCAAGCGAACGCAUCCAUUGCCUCAUGUGUUAUCUUUGUGUGCGGGUGUGUGGUGAGAAUAAGCAAGGUCUAAUCUCUUAGCAAAUCUCAAUUAUGCAGUACAGUGUUAUUUAACUUUAGUAACUAUGUUUUAUAUCUGGUCCUCCGACCUUAUUCAUCUUAGAGUUGAAAGUUUGUACCAUUUUAUCAACCUCUUCGUAUUUCCCUCAUCCUUCAGCCCUUGGCAACUACAUUUUUCUUUUCUUUGAAAAAAUUUAUUUUUUAAUGUUUAUUAAUUUCUGAGAGAGAGAGAGAGAGACAGAAUGUGAGUGGGGGAGGGGCAGAGAGAGAGAGGGAGACGAAGAAUCGGAAGCAGGCUCCAGGCUCUGAGCUGACAGCACAGGGCCCGAUGCGGGGCUCGAACUCGCAGACCGUGAGAUCAUGACCUCGACUGAGGUCGGACGCUGAACCGGCUGAGCCCCCCAGGCGCCCCUUUAUGAAAAGAUAAGGAAGUUGAAGCUCACCUGUGGGGAGAAAGGGCAACUAUGGUUAAUUGGCCCUUGGCCUUAGUGUCUUCCUGGCUCUUUGUUUGUACUUCAGUUUGAAAGUCAUCGCGUACAACCUGUCCGUUCACCUACUGGGUUGCAAUGUACUUGACAUUGGGAGUCCUGGCUUCCUCUGCCCCCAAGCUCCUCUUCCUCCAUCCAGCACCUUCCUUUGUAACUCCAAAGUAUUUGAUAAGUUGGGGGUGAAUGGAAUCGAUAGCAGGACCAAAGCAUCCAUGGUUUGAAUACUUGAAGCUUUCAUCUGUCGCUCAGUGAUUCCCUUCCUUACUACACAGCAGUGGUUGGGAUCGAUUUUGUUGUAACCAGCCUUAGAACAACGAAAAGGGAUUAAUACAUCCUGUAGGGGAGACUUCCUAGGAAAUUCAGCACGACCAGCUCAACAAAUACUUUUGGAUCAGUAUGUAUUUUUACACAAUUCCUCUCCCCCCUUUUUUCUCCCCCUAACCAUACACACAACUGCUUUGGAAUUUGCUUUUGGAAACGUGGAGAAAUAAUCUUCUUUCGUUUCUUUAGAGUUUAAAAAAUGUCUAUCUCCCUUUGACUUUUGGCUGUUGUAUUUUGUACAACUUUACGUUUAUUUCCUCUGAGUUUACACACUCAUAGGAUUCCUGAUAUUGGCCAGUCUCUGCCUUGGACUAUUCAAAAUGAGGGCGACUCAUACAGCACAGGGGGAGAGAACGCUGGCCUUGGCUUUAAUAGAUCCAGUGUGGGCACUGUGUGGCCUCAGGCAAGUUACUUGGCCUCUCAGAAUCUGUUGCUUUAUCUGUAGAAGAAACGCUAUGGCCUUCACAGGGCUUGAAACGAGAAUUACGCGAAAUGAGGCCUAAUGGUAGCCCACCCUUGCCUAUACUAUGUGCCCCAUAAAUGUUUAUUUCCAUCUACUUCCUCUGUUUUAAACUCUGACACACAUAUUUAUUAUGUAAACUUGAGAGAGCUCUUCCAACAUUGACGCAUACGAUCAGUCUGUAUCUGUCAUUUACACUUCUUACUUUUUCCAUUAGCCUGUGCUUCCCACAAUAGUUUGGAAAUACCUUGAAGAUGGAAAGAUAUAUUUUAUGUGUUAGGUGUUUUUACGCCCGAUCACCUACGAUGUGCUUCUCAUCAAGUAGGUGGCCAGGUACUUUUUAACUAUCUUUUCUUUUUCUUCUUUUUUGUUUUAGUGUUUAUUUUAUUUUUGACAGAGAGAGACAGAAUGUGAGCGGGGGGAGGGGCAGACAGAGAGGGAGACACAGAAUCCAAAGCAGGCUCCCAGCUCUGAGCCGGUCAGCACAGAGCCAGACCCGGGGCUCGAACUCACGGACCGUGAGAUCAUGACCUGAGCUCAAGUUGGAUGCUUAACCGACUGAGCCACCCAGGUGCCCCCCUUUUCUUUAUUUCGAUUACGUUGUUUGUUAUGUAGUGAUAACAACAGUAUUUGCCCCUGUAUAAGAAAUUAAUUACAAAUAAAAAAAAAAUCUGUAAAUCUCAGGUAUUCAUGGUGGAGGUUAGGGGUUGUUACCAUUGAUUUGCCCCACGAUUUCCCUGAUCAGAGGGUACUUGGAUUUAUACUCAUCACUCUGUUCUGUGUGGCAAGCUUCCCAGCACAAUCUGCAAAUUGGCAAGCAGUGAAGUUUGUGCAGACACGACAGUCAGUUAGAAAUAGAGGGAGUGUAUAAUUUGCUGUUCAAAUGGGAACACAUGUGAAAGUGCAAAGGGAGAGCUUUUAAUGAUUAUGUUGGCUCAACAGUGGUAAAGCAGGGCCAUCCAGGGCGACCAUGGCUACUCUGGUUAUCACAGACAGGUACCAGGGGUAUCUCUGCCUUGCAACAGCACCUCCUAAACUAACCCCAUUGAUAUGCUACGGAAGCGAUUCUAAUGCGAAUUGAAUUUGGUAUGCCUUCUGCAGCAUGCUUUCAACCUGGGCAUUUCUUUACCCCUGUCUAUUAGUAUCUAAUGAGGGGUGGUGUUGGCUAAAUUAAGCACAUUAUGUUGAAGAGAAGAGAAGUAACCUAAAUAAGGGAAGGUUCCCAGUUUCUCAGCAGAGACAUUAUGUGAUGUCUUUUAACCUUACAGCUCACAGUCUAAGGAGGGCCUCUGGUGUGGUGCUCCUACAGUGCUCCUGUUGUCUCCCCACCUUGACCCCAGGCUGCCUGAUGGCUCUCCAGCCCCGGGCAGGAGAGUGCCAGUUCUAAGAAUCUUCUCUGAAAGGCAACUUAGCCCGUGUGACUCUAAGAGAACUGACUACAAUUUACUCGGUAGAGUAGGGAGAGAAAUUUCUUUGCAAAUAGAAGAUGCUUGCAUACUUUGCUCUGAAUUCUUUAUGUUUGUCCUCAUUUUAGUAGCAGUUGGCUUUCCGAGGACUUGUAAAGUCUUCAGUGACACGGUAAUAAGCACUGAGAUCAUAACUUUGUCUUUCACAAAAUAAAUCAGCAAAGAGUUUGAAGUAAAGGUGGGUAUUUAAACCGUUUCGCCGAGGAGUUCCAGUCUGUUAUCCAGAUGGAAAUGAGAUGCCUCUUGAUUUGCAGGUAGUCAAUAAAUCUUUUUUUUUUUUUUUUUUUUGUUUUGUAAAUAAAAAAUGAUCUUUUUUGAGCAAGGUUGAGGCUAUCUUCUGCCAUUCCUUACCCAGGCAAUAGGUUUUCCUGGCCUGGCUGGAAAGGUAGCAAUCACCAUAACAAUGUUUCUUUUUUUAAAAUGUGUAUUUAUUUUUGAGACAGAGACAGAGUGCAAGGUGGGGAGAGACGGGGGUGGGGAGGGGGUGGGGGGGGGGACAGGGAGGGAGACACAGAAUCUGAAGCAGGCUCCAGGCUCUGAGCUGUCAGCACACAGCCCAACGCAGGAUUCAAACUCACUAAGUGUGAGAUCAUGACCGGAGCCGAAGUCAGACGCUUAACCGGCUGAGCCGCCGACACACCCCUGUGACAAUGACCUUAGUGGUAAAUUUUGUUCACCAGGGUAUUAGAAAGAGGAAAGAACUUGAAGAAAACCAGGUUGAGACCCACACCCUGCCUUUUAUCUGCUCUCUGGCUUUAGACCAGUCGCUUUAUCAUGAUGGCCCUCAGUAUUUUCAUUCGUCUACUUUCAUGGAUCAAAUGAGAUAACGUGUGUCCAACACUUUAUGUAGCCUGCGGUCACGAAGUUAAUAGGCCCGAUUAGGAUGUAAGCACCUCUCAUGACACUCUCGUGUGGGCAUUUUGUUUACAUCUCUACAUUGUAUACUUGUGUGCUGAAUCCGUAUUAGUCAAACGAAUGAAUAGUAUUAACCAGAAGAAUAGUUGAUAAUUGUAACACGUCACCAUGGAACCGUCUAGCAUAGCGUUGGACCUGUGUGGCACCUUCCAUCUCUCCCGGUCUGAGCCCAGAAGUUAAGCGUGAAAGAUAGGGUCAGCCCACGUCCACAGCUCUUCGGGCGAAUUCCCACUGAACAAAAUUUACCGUGAGGACAUCGGUGGAGUGGUGACGAGGAUCUUCAGCCAGGCCACAAAAACCUGUUGCCGGGUAAGCAAGAGCAAAAGACAGUCUCGCCUGCUCAAAAAGAUCCGUCAUCAUUACAACUGUUUAUUCCUCCCUUUACCCGCGCAUGUAUUAUGUGUGUAGGUCAUUGCAAAUCUCUGUGGCCUUGCUACAGAGAUGUGUAUGUAUGUGUACUCGGGACCAGCAGGAUCUCCGAACUUGUUAGAAAUCACGAAUCUUGGGCCAGCCUUGGUUUCACGGGAGCAGAAUCUGUAUUGUAGGGGCGCCUGGGUGGCUCAGCCGGUUAAGCGUCCGACUUUUGAUUUUGGCUCAGGUCGUGAUGUCACGGUUCAUUUCAUGAGAUGGAGCCCCACGUCGGGCUCUAUGCCUACAGCAUGGAGGCUGCUUGGGAUUUUCUCUCUCCCUCUGUCCCUGCCCCUCCCCUGCUUGCACGCAUGCUCUCACCCUUUCUCAAAAAUAAAUGCAUUAAUUAAAAAAAAAAAAAUCUGUAUUUUAACAAGAUACAAGUGAUACAAGGUGCACAUUGACCCCUGAGAGGUCCUGCUCUACGAAGGAAGGAGAUCUUUUAGGGUCUUCUGGAAGCUCACAGAUUUUUGGGAAGUUUGUGCAGAGGUAGCUGGUAUAGACUUCAGGCCACAAGCCUCAGUAUGCCCAAAAUAUGACUUUAUUUUUCCUAUAAUUCAACUUAAUCCCUGUUUCCAGCUCCAUACUGCUGGCAUGGUAGAAACUUCAUCUUUUUUUUUAUUUUAAUUUUUUUAACUGUUUAUUUUUGACAGAGACAGAGCAUGAAUGGGGGAAGGGCAGAGAGAGAGAGAGAGAGAGAGAGAGAGAAUCUGAAACAGGCUCGAGGCUCCGAGCUGUCAGCACAGAGCCCGAUGCGGGGCUGGAACUCACAGACCACAAGAUCAAGACCUGAGCCAAAGUUGGACGCCCAACCGACGGAGCCACCCAGGGACCCCGAAACUUCAUCUUAAACAGUUUGCACUUUCCCUUUUCUCUCUCUCUCUCGGAGUAGUUGCAAAGGGUUUGGCAUAAGGGAUGGUCAGUUCAUUAGUCUUGUGUUCAGCAGGGGGUCCUCUGAGGUUUCCACGGGCUGCUUUGGUCCUUGGUCUCUUACAAAUGUGAUCGUCUUUUUUUUUUUUUUAUUCUUAUGGGCUCCAGUGACUGAAGGCUUAUAAACUGAUGCCAUGGUGGGGAUCAUGGGGAUCAAAGCCUCACUGAGGCUUUCCGGGGCCCGGUGAGCUUGGACACAGCCCACGAGUGUCUGCUCAAGAAGCAGAACAGGUAAAGGGUGUGUGUCUCAUGCGUAUGUUCUGUGUAUGUCCGUGGGUGUGUGUCCACAUGUGUGUCUGUGCCUAUUUGCACACGUGUGUCCGUGGGUGUCCCCGUGUGUGUUUGUGUACCGGGGGGAAGAUUUUCUUUCUGAGACCUAUUUAAGACCUCGCUCUCAUUUCUCUAUCUCUUAUUCUUACUUCAGGUCAGGAAACCUUUUUCUACCCUCGGAGAUAUUCUUCCUUCUCUUGAUUUCUUCUCUUCAGAGGCAACCCAGUACAGUGAUCUCUGCUUUAAAGGCCCUAGCACGCUCUCUUAAUGAGUUUAAGUUCCUGGACCCACAAAUGCCAGGAGGUCCUGGCACAAUAAUUGCCUGGGUCUUCCUCUGACCGACUAAUUUCACUUAGCAUAAUAGUCUCCAGUUCCAUCCACGUAGUUGCAAAGGGCAAGAUUUCCUUCUCUUUGAUUGCCAAGUUAUAUCCAUCGUAUAUGUAUAUAUAUACCACAUGUUCUUUUUUUUUUUUUAAUUUUUUUUUUCAACGUUUAUUUAUUUUUGGGACAGAGAGAGA
rnacentral:lncRNA from 1 species